rnacentral:rRNA from 1 species
AGAGUUUGAUCAUGGCUCAGAACGAACGCUGGCGGCAGGCUUAACACAUGCAAGUCGAGCGAGAAGCAUCCUUCGGGAUGUGGAAAGCGGCAGACGGGUGAGUAACACGUGGGAACGUACCCUUUGGUUCGGAAUAGCUCCGGGAAACUGGAAUUAAUACCGGAUAAGCCCUAUGGGGGAAAGAUUUAUCGCCGAAGGAUCGGCCCGCGUCUGAUUAGCUAGUUGGUAGGGUAAUGGCCUACCAAGGCGACGAUCAGUAGCUGGUCUGAGAGGAUGAUCAGCCACAUUGGGACUGAGACACGGCCCAAACUCCUACGGGAGGCAGCAGUGGGGAAUAUUGGACAAUGGGCGCAAGCCUGAUCCAGCCAUGCCGCGUGAGUGAUGAAGGCCUUAGGGUUGUAGAGCUCUUUCGCGCGCGACGAUAAUGACGGUAGCGCGAGAAGAAGCCCCGGCUAACUUCGUGCCAGCAGCCGCGGUAAUACGAAGGGGGCUAGCGUUGUUCGGAAUCACUGGGCGUAAAGCGCAUGCAGGCGGAUCGUUAAGUCGGGGGUGAAAUCCCGAGGCUCAACCUCGGAACUGCCUCCGAUACUGGCGAUCUUGAGUCCGGGAGAGGUGAGUGGAACUGCGAGUGUAGAGGUGAAAUUCGUAGAUAUUCGCAAGAACACCAGUGGCGAAGGCGGCUCACUGGCCCGGUACUGACGCUCAGGUGCGAAAGCGUGGGGAGCAAACAGGAUUAGAUACCCUAGUAGUCC